rnacentral:rRNA from 1 species
GAUGAACGCUAGCGACCGUCUUAACACAUGCAAGUCGAGGGGCAGCGGGGGUAGCAAUACCCGCCGGCGACCGGCGCACGGGUGAGUAACGCGUAUGCAACUUACCUAUCAGAGGGGGAUAACCCGGCGAAAGUCGGACUAAUACCGCAUGAAGCAGGGGCCCCGCAUGGGGAUAUUUGCUAAAGAUUCAUCGCUGAUAGAUAGGCAUGCGUUCCAUUAGGCAGUUGGCGGGGUAACGGCCCACCAAACCGACGAUGGAUAGGGGUUCUGAGAGGAAGGUCCCCCACAUUGGUACUGAGACACGGACCAAACUCCUACGGGAGGCAGCAGUGAGGAAUAUUGGUCAAUGGGCGUAAGCCUGAACCAGCCAAGUCGCGUGAGGGAUGAAGGUUCUAUGGAUCGUAAACCUCUUUUAUAAGGGAAUAAAGUGUGGGACGUGUCCUAUUUUGUAUGUACCUUAUGAAUAAGGAUCGGCUAACUCCGUGCCAGCAGCCGCGGUAAUACGGAGGAUCCGAGCGUUAUCCGGAUUUAUUGGGUUUAAAGGGUGCGUAGGCGGCCUUUUAAGUCAGCGGUGAAAGUCUGUGGCUCAACCAUAGAAUUGCCGUUGAAACUGGGAGGCUUGAGUAUGUUUGAGGCAGGCGGAAUGCGUGGUGUAGCGGUGAAAUGCAUAGAUAUCACGCAGAACCCCGAUUGCGAAGGCAGCCUGCCAAGCCAUGACUGACGCUGAUGCACGAAAGCGUGGGGAUCAAACAGG